UACGAAGGGUCCUAGCGUUGUUCGGAGUUAUUGGGCGUAAAGCGGGUGUAGGUGGUUCUAUAAGUCAGGAGUGAAAGCCCUCGGCUCAACCGAGGAAGUGCUUUUGAAACUGUAGAACUUGAGUACUGGAGAGGAUAGUAGAAUUCCUGGUGUAGUGGUGAAAUACGUAGAUAUCAGGAGGAAUACCGGUGGCGAAGGCGGCUAUCUGGCCAGAUACUGACACUGAGACCCGAAAGCGUGGGGAGCAAACAGG
rnacentral:rRNA from 1 species